GGAUGCGAUCAUACAAGCACUAAAGCACUGGAUCCCAUCAAAACUCCGAAGUUAAGCGUGCUUGGGCGAGAGUAGUACUAGGAUGGGUGACCUCCUGGGAAGUCCUCGUGUUGCAUUCC
rnacentral:rRNA from 1 species